GGGGGCGAAACGGCUUCGACGGGGUGUGGAACGGACGCUGAGGCGACUAGGCAUUGGGGACCGCCUUAAUGGGCCCAAAUUCACAAUUGCCAACGACGAGCACUACGCUCCGGCUCUUGCUGCGGCCUAAACCGCAGUAAUAGCGGGGCCCCGACCUGGGCCCGGCAACAGAAGUCUUCGGAUAGGGUCAAGCCGGAAUUCGCAGGCCGGUUGAAAUCCAAGGGCGACCAGUUCUCCGAGGUUACGGGGGCGCGCCGACACCCGGCUGAAACGUUCGCGCGCAGCUAUGCCGGAAGAAUAGUCGUAACUCCUCACGCCUUAUUACGCAUUGCGGACCCGGGUUCGACUCCCGGCGCCUCCACCA
rnacentral:tmRNA from 1 species